CCUUGGGGACACCUCUGGUGGCCCUGGGGACAUCUGGGUGGCCUUGGGGGCAACGCUGGUGACCCAGGUGACAUCCCUGGUGGCCCAGGUGACGUCACUCGUGUCCUUGGGGGCACCUCUGGUGGCCCAGGUGUCACCUCUGGUGGCCCAGGUGACAUCCCUGGUGGCCCAGGUGACAUCAGUUGAGUCCUUGGGGCCAUCCCUGGUGGCCCAGGUGACAU